AGUGAACGCUGGCGGUAGGCCUAACACAUGCAAGUCGAACGGCAGCACAGGAGAGCUUGCUCUCUGGGUGGCGAGUGGCGGACGGGUGAGGAAUACAUCGGAAUCUACUCUGUCGUGGGGGAUAACGUAGGGAAACUUACGCUAAUACCGCAUACGACCUACGGGUGAAAGCAGGGGACGUUCGGGCCUUGAGCGAUUGAAUGAGGCGAUGUCGGAGUAGCUAGCUGGCGGGGUAAAGGCCCACCAAGGCGACGACCCGUAGCUGGUCUGGGAGGAUGAUCAGCCACACUGGAAAUGAGGCACGGUCCAGACUCCUACGGGAGGCAGCAGGGGGGAAUAUUGGACAAUGGGCGCAAGCCUGAUCCAGCCAUACCGCGUGGGUGAAGAAGGCCUUCGGGUUGUAAAGCCCUUUUGUUGGGAAAGAAAUCCAGCUGGCUAAUACCCGGUUGGGAUGACGGUACCCAAGGAAUAAGCACCGGCUAACUUCGUGCCAGCCGCCGCCGUAA
rnacentral:rRNA from 1 species